GAUUCUGCGGAUGUGGAACCAAGGAUACAGGAGAUCGCAGGUGCGGAGGAACCACAGAUAAUGGGGCAACAGCAGAAGUCAUCAGCUGCAGAUGUUGCCUUCCAUGCGGCCUGUCUGAUCACCAUGACAAAGGCACUGCCUCAUCUAUAAAUAGAUGGUCAGAUGGAUUUCACAUCCUGCCCUGGUUCUCCCAACUGCUUGAUGAUCGUGACAACAGGAUUGAAGAGUGAUUCUUUCCACCUCAACUGCAGAGGCCUCACUUGCACUCUCUUCUGGAAGAUGACAAUCAGACUCAUUAAAUUCAACAUGAAGGAGCUUCAAAGACGUGCCCUUUCAGAGAAAUUGAGCCAGAGCCCUUUUCCAUUGCAUCAAAGGGAACUGUAAUAUAAUCAGCCAUCCAGCCUGAAUCUAUUGUUAGGACAACAAUCUGAAUCUUUCUUUUGCCUGUUUGGAUCAAUGUUAGCUGGAACGUACAUGGCGGAGCUGAUGUCAGUCAAGGCUCAGGUAAAAGAAAGCUAUUCCACCGGACACUUGACGCUUACAGGUUUCCAUUGUAAGUGCCGCUGUGAUGUAUUUGAGACACCUGGAUUUCGGAUCCCAAGAAUGAACACUGGGUCCUCCCACAGUUCUUGACCUUGGGCAAGUCAUUUAAUUACCCCCGAGACUCUGUUUUUCCUUCCUAGUGUGCUUAACAACACAGCUUCUGCAAUAAGACAGCACUGGUUAAAGCACCAACUCUGCAACUCUGUAACUUUGGGCAAAUUACUUAACCUCUCUGAACCUCAGUUUGUUCACGUGUCAAUAGAGAUGCUGGAAGUGUGUCCCUUAGAGGUUGUUGUGAGCGCUAUGAAGACAGUGUCUGGUACAUGGUUUCCAUGGCAUAAGAUGAUGGUGAGAAUGAUGGGUAAUCUCACAGUGUUGUGAACAUUAAAUGACACAUUAUAUAAGGUGAUUUUUAAAAUAUUAAGGUGUUUUGAUUAUGACUGAAACGGAGCAGGACCCUAUGGUCCUUGCCCCCCAUCCCCCAGGUCCUCAGCCUGCUUUUUGCCUGUGGAAAAACUUUAGCCAAAGAAUAAGUUUAAUCAGAGAAGUGAGAAAAUGCAAAAACAAAGGAAAACAGACAAAGGAGACCAAAUAAUAAUAGUUUAGUCAUUAAGCAAAGUCAAGGACCUUUAGUUCCUCCUCAAGCGCUGUAGAUCAUAUCCUGAACCAUGUCCCGUGAGCUGUCUUAUAGACACUGAAACCCUCACCAGGUGGAAGAAGUGAACUCCAUGAUGACCAGGCUGUAGCCAUGACAUGAGCUGCCACGGUUCCAAGAACUGGCCUCAAAGAAAUGGAAACAAACCGAACCUGGAACUGAAGAUGAACUGUACCUAAACUAAUCAAGAUGACGCUGGUCAGACCACAGAUGACCAGUUUCACGAUGACCGUCAAAGCUGAUUGUAUGAUUUCUGCAUGUAGCCCCCUGCCUCUGUCUAUAAAUGCUCUUGCCCCCUAAUUGUCAGGGGAGAGAGUCGGCCUUUGAACAGGGGUCUCUCCCCCACCCCCGGUUGCCAGCAUCCAAAAUAAAACAAACUUUCCUUUCCA